rnacentral:rRNA from 1 species
GGACCAAGGAGUCUAGCAUGUGCGCGAGUCAUUGGGACACUAACGAAACCUAAAGGCGUAAUGAAAGUGAAGGUUCGCCUCGCGCGAACCGAGGGAGGAUGGUCGACCCGGUACGCCGGUCGUCCCGCACUCCCUGGGCGUCUCGUUCUCAUCGCGAGAAGAGGCGCACCAAGAGCGUACACGCUGGGACCCGAAAGAUGGUGAACUAUGCCUGGUCAGGACGAAGUCAGGGGAAACCCUGAUGGAGGUCCGUAGCGAUUCUGACGUGCAAAUCGAUCGUCGGAACUGGGUAUAGGGGCGAAAGACUAAUCGAACCAUCUAGUAGCUGGUUCCCUCCGAAGUUUCCCUCAGGAUAGCUGGCGCUCGCUUCUCGCGAGUCUCAUUCGGUAAAGCGAAUGAUUAGAGGCAUUGGGGUCGAAACGGCCUCAACCUAUUCUCAAACUUUAAAUGGGUGAGAUCUCCGGCUUGCUUGAACUGUGAAGCCGCGAGAUAUCGGAUCAGAGUGCCAAGUGGGCCACUUUUGGUAAGCAGAACUGGCGCUGUGGGAUGAACCAAACGCCGAGUUAAAGCGCCUAAAUCGACGCUUAUGGGAUACCAUGAAAGGCGUUGGUAACUUAAGACAGCAGGACGGUGGCCAUGGAAGUCGGA